GAAUCAGUGGAGGGACAGCCCCUCUCAAGGGCAGAAUCUGAGGAUUGUGGAAAUGCAAUCAACACACUUAUGCGUGCGCCCACACUGCUUUGAAUGGGAUCCCAGACUCCAGGGAACUCAUCUCUGAUAAAUUGCAAAAGACCCAAACUAAAUGGACCAAAGAAGCAGUCAUUAUGCUUAAGGGAGGGACCUCACUGUAACACAGAAUAAAGUGUUACCUGCAAUUAUUUUUUAAGGUUGUGGGGGAAAUCUCGGUAUCCCAAUUCUAACUACCCGGCCUUUUGCUAACUGACUGCAACACUGACUUCCAGCAUCUCACAUCCUCUUCCUCUCUCUAUCUUGCUCUAUCUUCCCACUCUUACCCAGUCCCAUAACAAACAGGUUGGGGUGGAUGCCCUCUAUGUCCACAUUACUUAGGGAGAAAGGGGAGGCUGGAUCCAUUCCUGGUUUCCACCUAAGGAUGAUUUGUUUAGGCCCCUGUUGUGAGGAUUCUGUGAUCCUUGGUGCCUGGUGGCUCACAACAGGGAUUAAUUGCAAUUGUCUUUGUGUAUGGAAGGGACUAGGCUUUUUCUUAGGGCGCUCAGCACAGCACUGCCUGCCACUGAGACGGUUCAGGGCACAGAGCUCUCUAGGCCCACAAAGAGGUCUGGCUCUCAGGACAGCCAUGGGAGGGGCCUAUGUCAUCAGGAAAGGGCGUUGUUUUCUCCAGGGCUGCCUCUCAGCCUAAAGAGACUUUUACUCUAAUGCCAUGAGCUGUCCUUUUGCAGACUAGCAACCGGCUGGCCAUUUCAAUUUAAGAAAACAAAAGAUGAUCCUGUGAACACUGUAUCAGGCAUCAUUACUGGACUGAAAAAAGGAUCACUUGAUGGACAUGCCUGGCGUUUUGUUUAGAAGUAUUUCUUCUCUGGCCUUAGAAGAUUAGUUUUCAAAGCGAUGGUAAAAUCAUUGAUGUAUGUCUUUUCAAGAAAAAGAAAAAAAAAAGACUCCUAAAUGCCAAACAUUUGCUCUUUGGAGCAUAGCAAGAAGAAAGGGAGAGGACCAGACGGCCACAUCCUAAGAACAGAGUAUUGUCCAGUGGGUGUCUGCCGCUUCCUCAUGCCUUGCUAUAAGAAAGCUCGUAAAAAGGAAGAAAUCUAAAACUAGAACAAUUCUAUAUUCACAGUUUCUCUGACAUUAAAAAGUACUCAAGAGAAGAGUUUUUUUUUUAAUUUAAAGAAACAUCUGUCCAACAUGGAUGAUUUUGAAGAAGAGCACUCCCCUUUGUCCAGAGCCAUAGAAAGAUAAUUUAAUUACACUUAUCAUUACACCCUCCCCAAAUUAGACUACAAAUGGAUCUUGAUUUCUCAUGAUUUUUUCACUUUACAAAAUAAUCUUAAAGUUUAGGAGGAAGAAAAGAUGCUUAAGAAUAAUCAAGAAUGCUUGGAAAAGAGGAAGAAAAAGGGAAAUUUCUCCUACUGAACCGGUAGUGCUGGGAAGGGAAGAGCGUGGUCCCUUUAAAUGACAGGGAAGUGGGGCAGGGAAGUGCUGGGUAGAGAAAGGCGAGGUCUCUGUCUAGGGCUCCACCCCCAGGGACCUAGGUGAGGACAGGCACUUCUGCCUUCAAGCCCAAAUGUUGCAUUUUCCAAGACCACCCUGGCCUGCCACACCCCCAUUCUGGGCCUAUAAAAACCCAAGACCCUAGCAGGCAGACACAAAAGCGGCUGGACGUCAUGAAGAACACAUGGACAGAAGACACAAGCAGCUGGUAGUGGAGAGCACACGGCGGAAUGACGCAGAGUUUUACUGGAGCAGGCCGCCAAAGGACCCGACUCCAGGGGAAAACCAUCUCCCUUCUUGCUCCCCCGUCUGCUGAGAGCUACUUCUGCUCAAUAAAACCUUGCACUCAUUCUCCAAGCCCAUGUGUGAUCCAUUCCCGGGAUACAGAAAGCCCUCUGUCCUUGUGAUAAAGAAGGGGGUCUAAUUGAACUGGUUAACACAAGCUGCCUAUAGACAGCAAACCAAAAGAGCACCCUGUAACACACGCCCACUUGGGUUUCGGCUGUAAACAUUCAUCCCUAGGCACUGCCAUUGGAUCGGAGGCCCACAGUCUGCCCAUGUCUACGUUCCCCUAGGAGGUUUGAGGAGCGGGUGGCUGAAAAAGCUAGCCACACCCCCAGCGCAUGCCCUGCAGGGGGGACAAAGGAAACUUUCCAGUUUCACUACCACCAUUAGAAUAUCUUACAAAGUCGGCUAGGCGUGGUGGCUCACGCCUGUAAUCCCAGCACUUCUGGAGGCUGAGGCCGGCGGAUCGCCUGAGGCCAGGAGUUCAAGGUCAGCCUGCUCAACAUGGCGAAAACCCAUCUCUACUAAAAAUAUAAAAAUGAGCUAGACAUGGUGGUGCAUGCCUGCAAUCCCAGCUACUCUGGAGGCUGAGGCAGGAGAAUUGUUUGAACCUAGGAGGCAGAGGCUGGACUAAUAAUCAUGCCCGUAUCUAAGCUAUUAUCUGUAAAAAGUUGUACCUAUUUGCAUUGCACUCUAGCCUGGGCGACAGAGCAAGACUAUCUUAUGGUAAUGGUGGCAUAGGAUUAAUGAAACGGAAUAGAAGUCCUAGAAAUAUUCCCAAGUAAAUAUAAGAAGUUUGUGUAUGAUAAAAGUGGCAUUUAAAAAUAAAAGGAAGAUGUAGUAUAUUAUUCAAUAUUUUGGUAUUGUGGCAACUGCCUAUUCGUUUAGGGGAGGAGACAAAAGGUAGUCUCUGAGUCAUACAAGUGAAAGUAUAAAUUUGAGGUUUAAUAAUAAGUAUUAAAAGGAAACAAUUAUAUAGAUGUAAUAUAUUUAUAAGUAUGAAAAACCAAGAAUAAAUUUUAGAUGUAAUAUAUUUAUACAUAUAAAAAACGAAAUGAUUAUUUUCUAAGAAUAUGCUGGUGGAUAUUUAUACAAUAUUGAAUUGGGAAAGCAUCAGUCCUGAGGCAAUAAUCAUAAAAUAAAUGAAUUAAGUUUACUACGGAAAUACUAAAAUUGUCUGCCCAUCAAAACAUACCAAAAAUUAUGACUAAGAAGAAAGGACAAAUUGGGUAACAUAUUUAAAUAUACAUAUACAUACAUAUAUAUACACACACACACACACAUAUAUAUAUACACACAUACAUACAAUAUGCUCAACAUAUAAAAAGUUUUAACAACUUUGUAAGAAAAAGAUUAACACGGAUAAUUUACAAAAGAAAAAUAAUGCAAUGAAAAAUAAUUUACCUACCUGCAUUAGGGUUCUCUUCGAGGGAAAAAAUAGGAGAUAUAUAUGUAAAGGGGAGCUUAUUAAGUAUUAACUUACGUGAUUACAAGGUCCCAAAAUAGGCUGUCUGCAAGCUGAGGAGCAAGGAGAGGCAAUCCAAGUUACAAAACUAAAGAACUUGGAGUCCGAUGUUUGAGGGCAGGAAGCACCCAGCAUGGGAGAAAAAUGUAGGCUGGGAAGCUAGGCCUGUCUCUCCUUUUCUGCCUGCUUUAUAUUCGCUGGCAGCUGAUUAAAUUGUGCCCACCAGAUUAAGGGUGGAUCUGCCUUCCCUGGCCCACUGGCUCAAAUGUUAAUCUCUUUUGCAACACCCUCACAGACACACCCAAGAUCAAUACUUUGUAUCCUUCAAUCCAAUCAAGUUGACAUUCAGUAUUAACCAUCAUACUAACCAAACAGCAUUUAAAAAUGUUUAAUACUCAGUAAUAGUUAGGAUGUGGAAGAAUGGGAAUUCUCACACACUGCUGAUUACAAUGCAAAUAGGUACAACUUUUUACAGAUAAUAGCUUAGAUACGGGCAUGAUUAUUAGUCCAGCAAUGCCACUUCUAGAAGUUUUUGCUAAGGAAAUAACCCUGGAUAUAAAUAAGAUUUAGCUAUAAAGAUGUCUGCAAACUGUUGUUUGCAAUAUUCAAAACAUUAAAAAAUAAUCCUGUAUGUAUACAAGAAGAUUAAGCAAUUAUUUAAAAUGUUUCUGUAGUAAAUAAUAUUUAAUAAGUAUUGUCAUAAUAUUUUGCCAAAUGAAAAAAAA
rnacentral:lncRNA from 10 species